CCCUUAGAUGUUCUGGGCCGCACGCGCGCUACACUGACGAUGGCAACGAGUUUUUCCUUCGCCGAAAGGUGUGGGUAAUCUUUUGAAACAUCGUCGUGCUGGGGAUAGAUCAUUGCAAUUUUUGAUCUUGAACGAGGAAUUCCUAGUAAGCGCGAGUCAUCAGCUUGCAUUGAUUACGUCCCUGCCCUUUGUACACACCGCCCGUCGCUCCUACCGAUUGAAUGAUCCGAUGAAUAUCAUGGAUUGAGGAUGCAAGCAGGUUCGCCUGUCUUCAUCUUCGAGAAGUGAAGUAAAUCUUAUCAUUUAGAGGAAGGAGGAGUCGUAACA
rnacentral:rRNA from 1 species